AGCAAUUUACUUGUGUGGAUAUCAUCCUCUGUCAAUGCUGCGCGGGCCCAGGGUCAAAUGGCUCUUGUGAUUGUACACAAUGUGGAAUGACCUUGACCCAGCAACCCACUCUUCAGGCGUAACCUAUCUGUGCAGUGUCGUGUAGGCCUUAGUUAGGUGGUAUCAGUUCAUGUGGCACAUGUCAGUGUAGUUGUGGCUGUAACACAGAUUGCGAGUAUCUCAACUGUUGCUGUUUUCAAGUCCGCAUGGCAUCCACCACCCCCAGACCCACACCCAGAACUCUACCCACCUCUGCAAACUCUGCCCGUUUGGAUCACACCGGAUCCCUACAGCAAACUCAGUCCCUGGAGUCUCCCAAUCACAGGAGUCAGAAUUCGUCGCACUUGGAAACAUGGUCACGUCAACAAGCAAGAGGAAGGCCACAGCAAGGCCUCCAACAGUCUCAGAAAAAAACCAGAUCACAGACUCAACAUGCAAGAAAACAGCCUGGUGUUCAUCAUACCUCAGGCGUGUCGUCAAGACGUACAAAUGAUGUCUCUGGUAGUAGAGUUCCAUCAACGAGGCGUCCUGUGCCCAGAUUACCUAUGUCUGCAAUAUCAUGAUCCUCAGUGAUCAGUACCGAAAUCCUCAGUGAGGAGUAUCAAGAUCCUCAGUGAUUGAUAACCUGAUCCUCAGUGAGCAGUAUCAAGAUCCUCAGUGAUUGAUAACCUGAUCCUCAGUGAGCAGUAUCAAGAUCCUCAGUUAUUUCUUUCUGCUGAUUCUCGAGGAUUUCUUUUGAUUCUCAGUGGUGGCGAUAAAAUAAACAGUUGUGGUGAUGAUGAGAUGAAAAUUUGGCUACAGAAAAGUGUCUUGUGGAAAUUUGGAUGAGUUGAUUCCUGACACAUGCUUGAUGUGGAGUCUUGGAAGAACCCAUGAAGUGACCUGUGGAGUGAGAUUUCUGGGUGAAUUGUAGCGUGUCUGUUACCCUGAAAAACACUGUGUGGACUGUACAUUUUAGCUGGUCUGUUGACUUUCUGGCGACAGGGUCAGUGUCAUACUCAUCGAUCCUGAGACAAUUUGGACUUCUGAAAACAUAUCAUGAGAUUAAGGGAUCAAUACAGACUGUGAUAUAGUUUUAUAUUUACGUUAAAUGUUCAUAUUUGUCCAGAUGCUUCUUGAUUGGACACCUCUGACCCAAAGACAUUGAUCAGCUUUGUGCAUGUGUGUAAAUUACGCCAGGUAAAUGCGAUAACAUAUCUCUUAUCAGUGUCUUUUUUUGUUAGUUUGUGGAUUUUCCAAAACGCUAUUAGAGAAAUGUAAUAUUCUACUGUCUUCACUGCUAAUAUCUGUCUCAAAAGAAUUAGGAUAUUGAUGUAAAUUUAACUUCUUUCAAAAGCAUGGCGUGGAAUUUGUCUAAAUUGAGUUUUGGCUUGCAACUGAAAAACUUAGGCAAGUCGAAAAGUCAUACCAGAAGUUUUUGGCAGCUUAAUAAAUGCACGCAGUUACUUUUUAAAACUGAAAAUAGCAAAGUUGAUAAUUGCCCAUUUGAGGAAAAAGUGAAUAAUGAAAUUGUUUCACGAGUCAGAAAGAAACAUUUUUAUCAAACUGAGAGAGAGGAGAAAUCCCACAUAAGUCCCUCAAGAAAGGAAUAAAAAGGAGAAAAAAUUAUCUAUACUGGGUAGAGAAGAAGUGUGAAAAAAAUGUACCCUCAAAAAUGUUAAUAUACAAUGUAGUAGUAAUGCGGCAGACUACGGUGUGACUCCAGCUUUUGAAAUUGAUCAACCUGGUACCUUUGUAAAUGGAUGUGAGAAGUUCUGUAUGCCUACUUUGGUUAUCUUCAGUAAAGACUUCUAUAUUUUGAAGGAAACUUCAUUGAAAGAUAAGGAGGCAUAUGUAUAAACGUAUUUGAUUUUUUGACAUCUUUCAUUUGAAUUUCUUCAUUUCUGUAUUCGUAAAAGUUAAGGAAAGUUUCACCUGUGAAACUGACAGGGAUAUCCGUCCUUAGACCAUUAAAAUAAAAGAAAGCUAAAAUAUGCAGUAAGGUUCAUCAUAAAGACAAGUGAAAACUGUGAGUAACAAUACUUUCACUUAUUUUUUCAGAUUUUUUUGAGAGUGUUGAAAGGCCUUCAAAUAUUUGAAAACUAUGCUGGGGUUUAUGAGCCAUAUUACUACCACACCUCCGUCUUGUUCCAUUAGCUUACCUUGAACACCUCUGUACUUCCCUUGCUGGCUUUAAUCUACUACUGCUGGGCACCAAAUAAUUUGUCUGUCCGUAGUCAUAGUAUCAGCUCUCAAUUCCAUGUAGGAGUUCCCAUGUGUCAUCACUAUUAAAUCCACAUGAUCAUGAAACUAGUGGAAACUGGAUAAAUUCCAUGUUUGAAUGUUUGAAGCAGUAGUAGAUUAAAGCCAGCAAGGGAAGUACAGAGGUGUUCAA